UGGCACCGACAAAGGGUGGCAGUCCAGCACAGGGAGUAGGAACUGAGUUUUCUGUCCUCAUCCCCUUAUUUACCAAGACCUAGCCUAGAGUGGGAUGGAGAAGGAACAUCACCCUCAGCUUGUCCACCUAUAGAUGUGUCCAGAUCAGCAGAGGCACAGCCUAGGGAUCCCUCCAGCUGCCCAGCUCCUUUGUUAACUCCGCGUUACCUCUUACCUCUUGGGAGAGCCACACCUUCUCCUGGACCCAGUUAGUGGCCAUCGGCUGACAGUCGGGGUUCAGCUGACCUGCUAGGGUCUCUUGUAGCACCUUGGUCUCUGUCUCCGCACGCCGAAGUGAGCGGGGAAAGGGAGGAAAGAAGUACUGGAAGAGCUGGCUUCCUUGCAGCCCUCGCCUGGAGAUAGGACCCAGGUUCAGCUCCAGUAAUACCAACUGAUAACAUCCCAGUUCUUCCUCCAGGGCUAUGUGAUCAUCCAUGCAGACAUCUAUCAUGAUCACAAGUCAAGAUGUCAAGUUUACACCUGUCUGUCUUCCCUGUACGACUGUGGAUUCUUUCGUACUUCCUGUGCUCAGCAU